rfam:Cucumis melo, WGS project CAJI01000000 data, contig: 09903
AGGAUAAUACAACUUUACUCGAUUAAAGUGGGACGUUACAUAGAAGAUUAGCAUGAUUUCUGUGCAAGGAUGACACAAAACAAAUCGAGAAAUGGUCCAAAAUACG